GGGAGGGAGGAGCCCCAGCAACCUACAGCCCACCAGGGUUCGCAGCAGGGAGUGCAAAUAGCAUUGUGUCUACUCCCCCACCCAGAGAAGCCAGAGGGCUGGAAAGGGGCAAACCACCUCAGGGCACACAGAGAAGCACCUAAAAGGGUGAGAAUAAACAAGAAAGGGCACAGGGCCAAGAGGGGAACUCUCAGUUAAAGGCUGCUGCAGGUGAAUGCAGAGCUGAUAAAUGCUGGAUUAGGCAGGGACUUGUCUGGGACACAGGCUCUAGAAAAGUCUACGGAAUUAGAGGAUGAGUUAAGCUGGGAAGUGAGGAAAGAGCACACCAGGAGUGAGGUGCUUCACUAAAUGAGAACUGGACAAGAGAGAACAAGAGUGAUGUUUCAACUUUGAACUUUGAGGCCAAAGUCCAAUCCUGUUUUCUGUGUACUUUACCAGAGAAAACACUGAAUUUAACUUUACUAAAAGAGGUUCUUCUUAAAGAAAUUAGCACUGGAGGUGACUGUAACAGAAGGUUGGAAUUCGGACACCCCAGGCUGCAUCAAAGUCUCUAACAUCCUAGCAGAGAAGGAGCUGCAAGGAACCCAAAGAGGAGACAGCUCUGGACUUCUAAGUCACCCAGAGAGGGCCACUGCCUGAUUUUCUGACAACUCAAUCUGGACUUAGUACAUCAGAAGCAUCUCUAUUAAUAGAUUUUCUGUGAAGAAAGGAAAAAGCCUGAUUCUGAUUACUCUACUUACCACCCAGAUACAUUCAGUGUUAUCUGUGGAGAGGACAAUUCGGAUUAUUGCUGAGCCUAAGAACCAUUGUGAUUCCUUUUGCCCUCUGGUUCUGUAAGCUAUCAUAUGAAAUUCAAUACUUUAAAGUAGAAGUGGAAACUAUCAUCUUCUGAAAGCUGUGAGUAGAAGCAGGAUGUCAGCACUGUAACUUUAUGUUCCAGACACUCACCUUUCUAGAUCCCUUCCUGAGUAUUCCAUUACCAACAGUUGCAUCUCUCCUAUAAACUUCUCUACAUGGCCCUCCCUGGUGGCGCAGCGGGUUAAAGCACUGCACUGAGAAGCCAAAGCCACUUCCGCAUGAGUUCGA